AUCUCGGUAAAUUUCAAUUUCCAAUAUCCUCGUCGCCACUUGUUAAAUAUCUGUCGAUAUUCAAUUGAAAUAUUUAUAUAAUUUGAUAUAAAUAGGGUCAUUCAAUUUGGAAUGAAGUUCACUACACGUUAUCCUUAAUUCGUUUAUUACUCAACUGAACUCUGUUACAACUGCACAUCGGCACAUAUCACAUAUUCGCAAUCGCCGUUGCUAUGGAUACAAUAUGUAACAGUUAAGAAGACACGAAGUCUUAAUCGAUGAUUUGAAAGCAUUCGGUCAAAAAAUCGAAGAAUUGAAGAAACAAGCAGAUACUUGUAGGCAAACGGAGCUAAAAGUGACUGUCACCUAUGAGCGAGAAACAGUUGUUGCUGUGGAAAAUUAUACAUCAAAAAAUCCAAAACAACUCACCAUUAUGGCAGGAGACUGCCUCACCUUGAAUAACACUUCUAAUGAGAUUUGGUGUAAGGUUGAGAAAGAUGGACAUGUGCCUAAGAAAUCAACCCUAGAGAAAAAAAUUCCAUCUGUCCGAUUUUAAGCAGACAGAUUGAAUUGGAAAAGCAGUACAGGGAGCUGAUAGAAUUAACAGAAAUACGUAGAAAAAAAUUGGCGGAUACAGUCAGAACAUUUUCUCUCAUACAGGAAUCUUCAGAAAUAUCUUCUUGGAUUAAAGGUUAGGAAUUUUAAAGUAAAGUGUAGCUUUGAACUUAAAAUAUCAUUGCUCU